rnacentral:rRNA from 1 species
CACCGGCGGCUCGAGUGGUGGCCACUUUUAUUGGGUCUAAAGCGUCCGUAGCCGGCUUGGCAAGUCCCCUGGGAAAUCUGGCGGCUUAACCGUCAGGCGUCUAGAGGAUACUGCCAGGCUUGGGACCGGGAGAGGUGAGAGGUACCUCAGGGGUAGGGGUGAAAUCUUGUGAUCCCUGAGGGACCACCAGUGGCGAAGGCGUCUCACUAGAACGGGUCCGACGGUCAGGGACGAAAGCUGGGGGCACGAACCGG